GGGGAUAUAGCUCAGUUGGUAGAGUGCUCGCCUAGCAUGCACAAGGCCCUGGGUUCAAUCCCCAGCACCACCA
rnacentral:tRNA from 1 species